UUUUUAUCACAACUUUUUUUGUUCUUAAAAAAACCACUAGGGUUAUGACUUGAAACAAAACAGCGUGAACAACAUUUAUAGCCUCCACCCUCACCCUCUCCAGAAUCCAGCAACCACCUGGCACAACCCCUGCCCCACUCACCUCCAUCCUCUCCGGUGACCGUCCCCGCUCCGGCGCUCCACCUACGGCCGUCAACGCGCUUCUCUGGCCAGCCUCAUUCUCUCACAUCUCAGGUUUUCGAAUGGAUGCCCUACCUGAAGCAAUGCUUUGGAGCGUGUUUUUAAGACUUGAUUUUUUGGAAUUGCAUAGUAUAAGGAGGACGAGCCCUCAAUUCGAAGCCCUAGUCCAACAAGAUCUAUUUUUAAGGGAUUACAAUAGAGAAUGCAGAGGUUCUGUUUGGAACUUUACACAUUUUCGAAAUCAUGACGUCCUACAUGAGCAUCAUGUUGUAGGACAUAGAGAGGAUGCGAAACAUGAGUUACCUACCGCCUUGAAGACUUUAGUAUAGAUUUGGAUCACGUAGGGGAUAACAUUGAGCUGAUACUCGUUGAUAGAAACAUUCUUGUUUUCGUGUAUGGUGGAGGGUUCCUAAUUUGUAAUUUGAUUACGAUGACAUCAAGAGUAGUUUCAUGCCUAUUAUGGCUUUUCAUGGAACGAGAAAACUUGAGUUGGGGUACAAGGAUUAUGGAGGACCCCAUAGAUCCAUUGCACUACAUUUUGAUGUAUGUUUUCCCAAAUGAAGAGGAGGGAAAUGAGAUGGUCGACUACUUCAUAUAUCAUUCUUCGACAGAUCACCAGUUGUUCCCUACGAUGGGUUUAUCAAUGGCGACAGAUUAUCUAACCUAUAAUGAGAGGGCAUAUGCUUUAUACAUGCUUAUACCAUCGAUAAGAAAUAGACGUCCCGUUCACUUGGUUGAAAUGCAUGAGUUGGUCUACGGUCAGAUAGAAUUGCUCCCAUAACUUAUUGAGCUUCCAAGCUUUGUUCGAUUUGAGUCUUUGUAUUACAACAAUGAAGGGUUUUUGAUGGUCGUUGAAGGCCGGACAACCCCUGAUUAAAAGCAAAAUCUUCUUUAAGAUGCUCUGGAAGGGGACGGAUAGGGCUCCGGUUAUCAACCAAAUCCCGGGCCAACCCUUGAUCAAAAGCAAAAUCCUCUUUAAGUUCAAAGUCCAUAGACUGGUCUUUGAACCUCCAUGCCAUAUCGGCUGGAAGACAUAGUUCAUCCAGCCAGAAGAAAUGGCCUUUCCAAUUCUUUAGACUUGAUUUCUCAUCCGAGGAAGGGCUAGGGACAGAUUUCCUAUGGGCAAAAGUGUACCAGUCCAGGGCCGUAAUGAACUCGUAAAAGUAUCGGAAGACGUUUAGAUCCGGCUUACGACCGCCAUACAGGAAAGUUCGAAAUGAUUCAUCCAGCUAAGUCCAAAAGGGUUGACCUGAGAAAGGUGGACUCGGAAGAACCGGAGGACUUUUAUCAAAAAUUUUGUAAAAGGAAUGCGAUAAUUUGCAAAAUCACAAACUCGCGUGUAAAAAGGGAACUUUCCUGCUAAAAAUGGGUAAAUAGGUUUAUUUCGUGCCGGAAGUUCCGGAUUUAAAAAAAGCCGGAAUCUGGUAAUCUCGAACAAAUUUAUCAAAUUGCUUCUGUGUCAAAACAUUGAAGCUUGCAGGCAUGUUCUCCUUCCCGGAGCCAUGAGUCUAAAAGUGGAAGAAGACAAUAUGCACCUUGAAUGGUAAGAAGAUCAUCGAAAUAAGAGUUUUACAGUUAAGGAGGAUAAGAAAAUGCAGAGAAUCAAGAAGAAAGAAAGUGAAAAAGUAAAAAUUAUUUACCCUUUAUAUAGAAAAGAUAGAUGGAAAACAGCUGGCCCAUCCAAUCAACAGUCACUUCAGGGCGCCGAUCACGAUUCCCAAGGAGGAAAUAUUACGUAAACAGGGCGGUGACUGACUGCCAUGCUCCACGUCACCAAUUCAAGGCUUACGGGCGCUCCACGUCAUCUUAUAAAUGCAUAACCGAGUCCAGACCUCCCUCACAAGGCCGGACCGCAACAAAAAGGACGCAUAUCUUGAGGUCUGUCCUCCUCGCCACAUUAAAGAACGCACAUCACAAGGUGCGUUCAACCGAAUGAUGUCAUCAAAGUCAACUAGUACGAUUUUCUGAACUUUCGUCCAUACUUUCUCUCUCUACUUUCUCUCUCUAGCAAAUAUUUUUCCUCACGCCGGAGGGUGGUCGUAGAGUGGCUCUCCCACCUCUGCGGUGAGCCUAACGGUUUGUUUAGUGUGCAAGUUCAAAUCUCCAAGCUAUUCAAAGGUCUAAUCGUGGUCACUCAGUGUCCGACCACUUUUUGAUCUUCAUCGGGUAAGACGUAUCACUUCAACCGCCAACUUUUGGAGGCAAUACAACAGUGUAGCGGCUAAUAGACGUUAUGUUUGGAGGUUUACUCACUAUCAAAAUCUUUCCGUCAACUUUAACCCUAACCCGAAUUUGGGAUGGAUUUCUUGUGUUCGAGAAGAGGCUAAUGGCGAAGAUGAAAUCAGGCGGCUUCAAGUUAACAGGUUGCUUGAAAAUCGAAACAUUUUUAUAGAUCCGAAUGAGAUGCUCGUUCUUGUAGGAUUUUGGAGAAGUAUCCUUUUGUUUGGCAUUUCGGGUGGGAGUUUGUUAAUCGUAAAUUUGUGGGAUGGAAUGGUUAGGAGAAUUCAAUUUUUUAACAUGACUGUUGUAUUUCCUAUUAUGAUGAUUGAGCUUUUGAGAAAUGGGGUAAGGGUUUACUAAGACUUGGUAAAUGAUGGUACUUAUGUAGUGGAAUUUCUUCAUCGUAAUGUUGAUGGUGGUAUUACCCUUUGGAGACAGUUGUCUAACGAACAAGGAAACCAUCAAAUGAUUUGUAAUUUGGUUGAUAAUCUUACAGUAGCGGAAACCAAUGAUUUAAGGAGAUCAACCAUGGUUUUCACAUUUCGGAAGUUUUACUUACAAUGGAUGGACACACGGUCGUGAUCGACACCUUUAUGAAUCAGUUUAUUGGGCCUCAAAGUCUAGAAAGAAUCUCACUCUUCUUCUUAACCGAGAACUUGGACCGAUGGUGUCUGGAAUCAAUAAUCCCCAAUGAUCGUCUACCGAUCAGGAUGUUUGACAUCCGCUCUUAUCACCUUGCUCCAAUUAACAAUGGAGUUAACUUGUCUUUAUUGAAAUUGGUUAAUGGACAUUGGCGGUACAUGCUUUCCCGGUACGAUAUAGCAAGGCGGCGAUGGGAUUUCUACACGAUUAAUCAAGGUGUUCUAGCCGGCACCGCUAGUUCCACGUUUUGCUCUACCCUUGCCAUCGUACCAAGUCAGAUAUAAGGAAAGAAGUGGCCUUGAUUGGUGAAUUAAAUGGACGUUGGCUUUUUGCUUUUUUUGUUAUUUGUCUAUUACGUAUUAUUCAAAUACUUGGUUAGCUAGUAGAAUUAUUCACAUAUUUGGUUAGCUAGUAGAAACAAGACAACGUUUAAACUCAAGAGAGUACAAGUUUUGUAUGUUUUCCGAGUUAUAUGUCUAAUUAAGCUCAAGUGCGA